GGGUGUAUGGUGACCAGGUUUUAAAUAUGACUACCUGAAGCAGGCUGUCCUCAGAGCUUGGCAUGUGUUUGUCACAUCAUGCUCUUUUACCUGGUCUAAGUAUACCAGCUUAAUGGGAGUUGAUCUGUUCCAGGACGGUCUGAAAUGGCCCACUGAAACUGGUCAUUGGAAGACUAGACAAUAUCCCUGCCUCUAUUUGCGUUGCAGCAAAAUUCCAUUGGAUUAGCACUGGAUGCAGCUAUGGCAGGCUAUGUACCUUCACACCAAUUUGCUAGAGCGUCUGCAGCCAAAUGUUUUCAUAGGAAAAAAUGGCUCAUCAGCGAACAGUGUUUGUCCACACAGAGCAGAGGUCUGUGUCCAGCUGUUCCUCCUAACACGGAGAAGAAGUCUGGUUCACCUCAGCCAGGCAGCUGAGUUAAGAGGUAAGUGCAGGGGAAAUUCCAUGGAUAUCAUGGAACUUGGGCUAAAAUGUUGCAUACAGAGAUUUAUUUGAGAUUCCAGAUGUUUUAAAUUGUCUUUGUAAAAAUAAAA
ensembl:lncRNA